GACGAACGCUGGCGGCGUGCCUAAUACAUGCAAGUCGAGCGGACCACUUCGGUGGUCAGCGGCGGACGGGUGAGUAACACGUGGGCAACCUGCCUGUAAGACUGGGAUAACACCGGGAAACCGGUGCUAAUACCGGAUAAUCCUUUCCUUCACAUGAAGGGAAGCUGAAAGACGGUUUCGACUGUCACUUACAGAUGGGACCGCGGCGCAUUAGCGAGUUGGUGAGGUAACGGCUCACCAAGGCAACGAUGCGUAGCCGACCUGAGAGGGUGGUCGGCCACACUGGGACUGAGACACGGCCCAGACUCCUACGGGAGGCAGCAGUAGGGAAUCUUCCGCAAUGGACGAAAGUCUGACGGAGCAACGCCGCGUGAGCGAUGAAGGCCUUCGGGUCGUAAAGCUCUGUUGUCAGGGAAGGACAAGUACCGGAGUAACUGCCGGUACCUUGACGGUACCUGACCAGAAAGCCACGGCUAACUACGUGCCAGCAGCCGCCGUAA
rnacentral:rRNA from 1 species